rnacentral:lncRNA from 1 species
UUGCUCGUCGUCACUCGCAAUCGGCCUCCUGCGGCGCACGCCGCACGGCUCGACCCAACUCACGCGCGACUGCCAAAUGACCUCCUAUCCACGAUCCGUCUGUUCUGGAGUUUAUUCCCUGACACCUCGAUGCUACGAUUCCAUUUCCAUGAUUUUUGGAAGCUUUCGCCGCGAGCUGCGGCAAUCUGUACCAAAAUCGGCCUCUUCUUCAAUAUCUUUGUAACGGCUCGACGGAUUGCCGAACCGUCGCUUCCAACGCGUUCAGCGACCUAUCAAUUA